CUGCACAAUCUCUCUGUAACCACACCAAUUCCUAACAGCAGCCACACAUAGACUCUUCCUCUUCUUCAUUCACUCAGAUCUCCACCGUUUCUUUCAGCUUGACCUUGCUCCUCCGUUUCAGAUCUCUUUAUUCCGGUAUUCCGGUGAAUGUUGCAGCUAAAGUUGUGGCUCUGUAGGAGAAUUCAUUCCUCUCGGGUAAACUGCACCCUCAACUACAUAUAGACUAAUCUCUUGAGUUGAGUGGAAAAUGUAUCCCACAAGAAAUUUAACAAUGUUGCAUUCUCAAGGCUAAAUUCAAACUCAGGACCUCAGGUAAAGUUAGAGAUCCUUUGCAUUCUCAUCGGUUUAUAUGAUGUA